rnacentral:rRNA from 1 species
AACGAACGCUGGCGGCAGGCUUAACACAUGCAAGUCGAACGCGUGUAGCAAUACACGAGUGGCGCACGGGUGAGUAACGCGUGGAUAUCUGCCUUUUGGUUCGGAAUAACCCCGUGAAACUGGGGCUAAUCGCGGAUGGUUCCUUCGGGAUAAAGACUUAUCGCCAAAAGAUGAGUCCGCGUCCGAUUAGCUAGUUGUUGAGGUAAUGGCUAACCAAGGCGACGAUCGGUAGCCGGUCUGAGAGGACGAUCAGCCACACUGGGACUGAGACACGGCCCAGACUCCUACGGGAUGCAGCAGUGGGGAAUAUUGGACAAUGGGGGCAACCCUGAUCCAGCCAUGCCGCGUGAGUGAUGAAGGCCUUCGGGUUGUAAAGCUCUUUUGGCGGGGACGAUGAUGACGGUACCCGCAGAAUAAGCCCCGGCUAACUUCGUGCCAGCAGCCGCAGUAA